UACGGAGGAUCCGAGCGUUAUCCGGAUUUAUUGGGUUUAAAGGGUGCGUAGGCGGCCUUGUAAGUCAGGGGUGAAAGACGGUAGCUCGACUAUCGCAGUGCCUUUGAUACUGCAGGGCUUGAAUGUACUUGAGGUAGGCGGAAUGUGACAAGUAGCGGUGAAAUGCAUAGAUAUGUCACAGAACACCAAUUGCGAAGGCAGCUUACUAAAGUAUGAUUGACGCUGAGGCACGAAAGCGUGGGGAUCAAACAGG
rnacentral:rRNA from 1 species